GUUCUACCCUAUAGCUAUGUUUGUGCCACUACCACCUCCUGCCUCAAAGAAACUCUUGCCAGGGUGAUUUACCAAGGAUAAAGAUGUCUAAUUUAAGUUGGACCAACCCAAUUCUCUUUCUUGGAAAUUUGAAACUAGAAGAGAGCCACAUGGAGAAUGAAGGUAAUUGAAGCUAGGAUAGCUAAUAUUGAUACUUCAGAGAACAUCCAAGAGCUUCUUUCUGAUGCCAAAGACCCAGAACAGCCUUUGUCCCUAGCCUUUGUCAAAGUAGAAUGAUGGCUCCAAGCCUUUCACUUCUUAGUAAUGUGUUGUCUUAGUAAUCUAAUCUUAGUAAGUGUUAUCUUAGUAAUCUAAUCAAUGUAACUUUCUUACAUUAGAGUAAUUUUUGGUUGUUUAACAGGUAGGCCAGACCUACUAUUAUUUAUCCCCUACGUCCGUAUCAAAUAGGCUUCUGCUUGAAGAUCUUGGCUGACACAAGACUCUAAUUUAGUUUUCCCACACAGAUAAGGUAAUAAAAUAAAGACAAAUGAAUUGAUUUUAUUGUUAAAUGAGUCAUGAAUUUUGAUGAGCUUGGAUCUUGACAACAAGUAUAGAAUUUAAGAUGUGGAAAAAUAUUCUUGGAAGGCAAGGUCAUCAGAUCCGGAGUCCAUUCUAAAUCCCAGUGGAACUCUGUGACUGCUUAAUGCAUAAGACACAGUUGGGUUCAGAUCUUUAUAAUGUUCCACACUGACUUCCUGACUGUCUCAAGUAGCUAUUUCACGGUCUCUUAAGAGGUAACCUGUAUCACCAAUUUUUUAUUAAACCUGUGGAUUUUGCAUCAGAAAAGUUAUUCUGAUUAAUUUGGGGCCAUUUAGAAGAGCAAAACAGUAUUUUAGUAAAAUGUUACCUUCAACAAGUAUGUUAUUGUAAUUUAGUCAUUGGGAAGAUUAAUUCGUCUUCUUUAGAAAAUAUUGCAGCCUAACACAAUGAUUAAAAGCAUGAGAUUUAGUAAUUUCAAACCUUAACUCUCCCAGAGUUUGGCUGCUCCUUCAUUUUAGAGGGAUUAGUUCAGGUCAUCCUGGCAGGUUCCCAUAUCAGUGUUGUGCUCUUAGGUUCAUAGUUUUGUUUUAUGGAUAAAUAUUUACUUAUGUCUGUUUGGCUAACUUUGCUUUGUGGCUGAGCAGUUGUUUCUUACUAGUUGUGAAACUAGAUUGGGUUAAAUUAAAAUGACAUGGCCAUUUCAUUUCUCCUUCCACUUUUGCCAUUAUGUGGGAGGGGAAACAACUCCAGGCAUUUAUUCAACAAAUAUUUAUUCAGCCUUUACUAUGUACCAGAAACUGGGGAUAAAGUUGUUAACAAAAACAUUAUGGUUCCUGACCUCACCGAGCUGAUGGUCUAAGAAAUCCAAAAUGGUGACCCACAUUACUCCUGAAACUCAUUCAAAUUGCAAAAGAUCCUAUCUCCAAGUAAAGAAUUUUUAGGAGUAUUCCUUACUUUCUUCCCAAACAGCAUCUUACUCUUAAUUAGGGAAGCUAUAUGCCAAAGCUGAGCCCCUUCCUUUUAUUUUGAGGAAGUAUUAUUGUAAUUGGUAAAUAUGUUUCAGAUUCUUUAGUAAGGGAUUUUGGUGAUUUACUAAUUUACUUAUGAAUGAAGAUUCCUUUAUUAUUUUCUGUUGCUCUUAUUAUUUUGUUUAGUGUGCUAUGUAAACAUGCAGUCAUAUCAUAAUCUUUCCUAGAAGUCUAAUUUGAUUCAAGUUUGCACAUUUAAAAAGCCAAUGACAAACUCUACCCCCUAAUCUUUGUCAUCUAUAUAGGUCUUAUUUCAACUGUUGUUCAGGAAUGAUCCAAACAAAUUCAGAAGCAGAUUUAAAUGUUAUAGGUAAGCUUAUUUUUUUAAAUCAAACUUAAAAAAAUUGAAAUGUCCUCAUGGGUUUUACACCCAAAUACAUAAUAAACAUAUGUUUUUAAAAUAUUAGAUAAUGACAAAAAUAAACAAUUUUAAAAUACUAUUGUUAAUCCUAUCAUACAAAAAUGACCAGUAUUAACACUCUGAUGUAUAUUUCUGAAAUUUUUAAUAGACAUACACACACAUAAAGACAUAUACAUUCUUGCUCUCUCCUUUUAAUUUAAAUAAUUAAAAGUCUUUAAUACUGUAAAACUACUUUACAACUGCUUUAAUCAUAGAACUUCUAAACAUAUACAUAUACAUAAACAUAUUUAGAUUUCAAAAAGCAUAGAUUUACAGCAUCAUUUUAAUGGCGCAUCAUACUCCAUUUAAUGUUAUAAUGUAUUUGCUCAUUUCCGCUUACAUUUAGUUUACCUUCAGUUUUUGGUUCUUAGGAGCUCUCAGGUACUCCCUAGCUCCUUGCAAGACUUGAUCUUGGUUACAAAUUUUUCGUCUAUUUAUGCCUUUAAAAUACUUAAUAGAAACUCAUUUUGCUCAUGAGUAUUUGAUUAAGCAUGCAUACAAUUAGAAAUAAUUACACAUCAGUAUUAUGUCAUGAAGUAACAUUGGUUUUGUACUUUUCUUUUUCUUGUCCUUUUGUAGCAAACACUGGUAAUCUGGAUUUUUCAGUUUUCUCUGGUACUUCCCACUGGUUUCAAACUGCUCUCCUUCCAAAUUUAGUAAUGUUUAUUCCAGAAUGAAUGUAUUAAAUCUGAACUGUUUAAUAAGAGUAGCCAACCCCCAAAGUUAGAAUAAAGGGAAAGGCAAAACAUGCCACCCAUUAAGAAGCCAAGGCAUUACCAAGGUAAUUCUAUCAUCUAUCUCUUUCUCACACAAUGUGAGAUUUGGCAUUCUUGUCUACUCCUUUCCCGGGCUGCAGGCAGGAGAAGAAAAGAAGAUAGAUAUUCUCCUCACAACCCCCCAUACUCAUGCAAACACACACAAAGGCAAAAGUAUUGAUAAUUUAUCACAGAACCACAUCUACUCCUUGUUCUUACUGCCUUGUUACUUUCAUUAUGGUCUUCUCAAUUUAGGAAAACAGAUCUCAUAAACUCUCUUUGGUAAAGCAGAUAAUAAUAAUUUAUUUAAUUUUUACAUAGUGCCAAAAUUGAUCUAAGUCUUAUGCAUGUGCUAACUGAUUUAACAAUUAUAUUGACUCCAUGAGGAAGUUACUAUAAUUAUUUGCAGUUUAUAGAGGAGGAAAUUGAGGCACAGAGAAAAUUAGCAACUAAGGUCAUAGGGCUAGUGAAUGGCAGAACAGUAUUUAAAUCUUGAAAAUCUGAUUUAGAGUUUGCCCUCCCAACCAAUUUGUUAUGCCUUUGUCUAAUUUUAUCGAGUCAAUUAAAUGAAAUGAAUGCUUGGCAGCCCUUGUGUCUAAAUUUGUGACAGAAUUUAUCUACUUACCUUGUAUUAGGAUUGUUAGACUCAGACAACAUAAGGGAAAUCUAUUGUCAUUAGCCCACAUAGACACUAUUCCAAGUCCAUAACCUCAAAUUAAAUUGUCAAUGCUGCCAUGCAUGGCAGGAGCCAAGAGAAUCUUUCUAGACCUUGAUCUUUAUCUUUUAUAAUAAAAGUCUUAGCUGGUGGUCCUGCUGCUGCCAAUUCCAUUUCACACUGUGGUAGAUCCUCCACAGCUGCUAUUUUGAUCUCACUGAUGUAAAUGUUGUCAUUACCUCCACCAUAUCUUGGAACAGAUUCCAUGCUCCAGGCACCAGGUGGGCACAAUGAAUCUAGAAUCUGACUUCCACACUUCCUGAGGCAAAGUUUUCUUUUUCUUUGGAGCUGGGGUUCUAUGUUGGGGCCAAUUCUCUGCCCUCGAGUGCUCAUGACACUCUUCCCUUGGAGAGAAUUUCACCUUCAGCCACGAAAAACUUCAUCUUCAUUUCUCUUAGUUUUAGUCCCUGAGAGUUAACUUCAUUUCCUCUCUCAAAUCCCACCAUUAGCCUUUUCUAUUUUACUUUGAUAUUUGCAUUUACUAAUCAUCUAUCAUUAUAAUAACACUACAUAACAAACUCAAAUCUUAGUGGCUCAUAAUCACAUAUACAGUUGGCCCUCUGUAUCUGUGGGUUCUGCAUCCAAAGAUUAAACCACAAAUCAAAAAUAUAGUGUUCACAGGAUGCAGAACCUAUGAAUUUUGAAGGUUGACAGAGGGCUGACUUUUAUGUGUUGGUUCUACAGGGACAACUGUGGGACUUGAGCAUCUGUGGCUUUUGGUAUCCAUAGAGGGUCCUGGAACAAAUCCCUCAUGGAUAUCAAGGGAGAAAUAUUCAAAUAUAUAUAUAUGUCACACUCAUGGGUUUGUGGGUGAGGCGAACCUUGUCUCAGUUUAUUUGGGCUUGGCUGGAUGCUAUAGUUUGAUUUCAAGUAUACACUACAUGUCUUAUAUUUGGACCGUGGUCUUCUUGGGGGUAUUCUGUUGUUAUGACAAUAGCAGGAUUGCAAGUAUAGAAGCUGGUGGUAGUUAAUUUUAUCUGUCAACUAAACUAGACUAAGGGAUGCCCAUAUAACUGGUAAAAUAUUACUUUUUGGUAUACCUGUGAGAGUGUUUCUGGAAGAGAUUAGUAUUUGGACCAAUAGAAUGGGUAAAGAAGAUCCACCCUAGCCAAUGUGGGUGAGCAGCAGCCAAUCAACUGAAAACCCUAAUAGAAAAAAAAAAAAAGGAGGAGGAAGGGCAAGUGUGCUCACUGUUUUUUUGAGCUGGGGUAUUUGCCUUUUCUAGUAUUUGGACAUCUGAGAGCUCCUGGUUCUCAGGCAAUCAAACUGUAGAACAUACACAGGUACCUCUCUCUUCCCCCUCCCAUUUCUCAGGUCUUGGCCUCAGACUGGGGGUUACACCACCAGCUUUCCUGGUUCUCCAGCUUGCAGACAGCAGACGGCAAGACUUCUUGGCCUUUAGAAUUAUGUGAGGCAAUUCCCAUGAGAAAUAUACUUUUUAUAUCUAUAUAAAUCCUAUUGAUUCUACUUCUCUAGAUAACCCUGACCAACGCAAAGCCAAACCACACAGGCUCAUUUAAAAUUUCUGCUCACAUUAUGUCCACUGGCCAAAGCAAGUUGCUUGCUUGACUCAGCUGUAUAUCAAUAAAGCUAGAAAAUAUAUUCUACUUGCUCUAAUGGAGGUACUCCCAUACCAUGUGGCAAAGGUUAUGGAUGGUUCUACCACAGGGAAGAAAUAAAGAAUUGGGAAAAAUAAUUCUAUGUAUUACUAAAAUAAAUGGAAUUAAUGUGUUCUAAAGUCCCAAAAUUACCAGGUAAGUAUAAAAGAUGGUAUUUUUGUACUAGGUGAGUCCAAGAUAGUUGUAGUAACAUCUAGAAUAGUCAAGAAAAGAAUAGUAAAAUUAUGUGUAUGGCAUUAAAGGUUGAAACAAAGCUCCUCUAAAAAUCUAUGAAUCUUUAAAUCUUAAAACCUUUAACUUUAAACCCUAAACUCUAUGUAUAAAUUUGAGGUAAGACAGAGCAUACAGUCAAGACAGAGGUGAUCUGGAAUCUGGGUGACUGCAAAGAUAGAUUCAUUAAGUUAAAUCUCAUACGAUAUCUGUAUUAUGCAACUCCACUUUAGGCCUCCAGGUUUGAGCAUUAUUACCUGAAAUCUUCUUGUUGGCAGAACAUUUUUUUUUUCACCUUUUAAAGGAGAGAAUCCUCUUUCAAAAGAAAACUAAACAUAAUUUUUUAUGAUGUAAGAAGAUCCGUGUGCUUAGACAAGCUUGAGCAUGAAUAUUUUGCCCUAGUAAUUCAAGCAAUUCCUUUUGUGCCAUUCAGAAAAAGGUCACACAUAGCUAACAAGAUAAGCCUGCGCAUAUCAAACAGUGAAUAUUUGUGCUCUGCUACAUUUAUGUUGGCACUUCUCUCGGCCUUAAGAGUCAAAGGGCAAAGGAAUAAAAUAGCUGCCUGUGUGUUCUGCUAUUCAUUACAGAUUUUCCAUCUGUAUUUAAUAUUCAUUGGAGCCAGGUCAGCAAAGAGGUCAAAGAUCAGCAAGAACACAUCAUAUUAGCUACGACUCAGGGUGCUGAUUAAGAAUCAAGAGUAACAAAAUUUUGGCUACAUUCAAUCAGAAGUCAUAAUCAGAAUGUAUUUUUAAAAAUACAUUUUAUUGUGUAUAUUUGAGGUUUACAAUUAUUAUGGGAUACAUAUUGGUAGUAAAAUGGCUACUACUAUAGCGAAGCAGAUCAACAUAUCUAUAAUCUCACAUAGUGAAGUUUUUUUAAUAAAGAAAUAAAGCAGCUAAAACCUAAUUAUUUAACAAAAAUCCUUAAUACAAGUUUAGUAUCUUCAGUUCUUAUGUUGUACAUUAGAUUUCUAAUCAUGUUCACCAUAAAAAUCUUCUAUGUGUUUUUAUUUAAAGAAUGACUAAAAACAGAACCCUCUUUAAGACUAUCAUUGCAGUUGAAAAGUAAAGAAUGGUUUAAACAUAAUGAACUAUUAGACCAUAAGCUGCUUUGUAUCUUUAAAGAAAUAUACUGAGGUAACUUUGGACUGGCUAAAACAGCACAAGAUGAUCUAGUACAGCAGUUUGCUACCUGUUACUAAUGAUAUUUUAAUGACCACUAUAGCUCAUUUAAUCUGUCUGGUUCCUUCCAGCCAAGAAUGCACCUCAGUUAUCUUUCAUACGUAUGUGUUCAAUCAAAUCAAACACAUUUCUGACUCUCAAACAUAUUAGUACAUAUAUUAUUGUGUAUUAGUAGCUCAUGCCAAAAUUUUACAAACUCCCUUUCCAACUGUGGCUUUUUAUCGAGGAACUGAAUUCCACCUUUGAGAGUAACUUGUUUGCUUUCUCCUAUCUUGCUUUUAGAGAGUAGAACAUCAUGGAAUUAUAAAUUUAAGAUUUCUAAUCUUAUCUUGACUUUAGCUCCAUGGAAAACCUUUCACUUGUAUUUUGUAAAUUUUCCUUCUGAUUAGUCUCUCCAAUCCAAUCCAAACCUAUUUACUUUCCUUAACCUCAGCCUGACCUCACCCUAAACUCAGCAGAUAACAAUGCCUCUUCUUAUCAGAGAAAGCAGUAACUCCUUCAUCGUCCUCACUCUCUUACUGUAGGCUUACGUGUACACCACUUUCACUCUUAGAGCAAGAAAGAACUUUCUGUUCACUGCAUCAUGCACUGGACGAUCAACCAUUUAAAAUGUCCUCUUUCAUUUAUUUAAUUGAAGAAAUCUCUGACUAUACCUGGAAUUUAAGUUUUCUUGCUCCUAAAACUACUCUGUCUCCUGAAUUGUCCAAGUCAAUGAUGUUGCCUAGGCUUCUAGCUGAAAAUCUUCUGGGCCUUCCUGACUUCUAUGUUGCAUGACUUGCCCCCGUUAUUCCAUCCUCCUCCCAUCCUAGAGGGAUGAUAUAAACUCACCCAUCUAGUAACUAAACACUAUGAGUUCUAUCUAAGAAAUGGUUUUCAAUUUUGUCCAUUUCUUCAUUUCCACUGUCACUGCUUUCUUCUAGAUUGCUUAUAGUUGCUCAAUUGAGCUUCAGCAACUAUUUCCUAACUGGAUAUUCUUCAUUAGUGUCUCUUUUUAGUCCAGGUCACUUUCUUCAUGGCAGUGUAAGUUCAUUUUGAAGAAAGGAAGAAGAGGAGAGAGGGAAAGGGGAGAGAGAGCACACAUGCACGACAGAGAGAGAGAGAAAGAGAAAGAGAAAGAGAAAGAGAGAAAAUUAAUCACAUUCUUCUGCUUAAAAAGUUUUUCUGGUAUCUUGUCUUCAGGAAAACAUGUAAUUUUUUUGGCUUACUCCAGAUUGUCUUUCACAUUCUCUAGUGAAUUUCUCAUUAUGCUGUCAUGAUCCUAUUCCUUGAUAUGUACCCUACUGCUCUUCUCAAGAAAAGUCUUGGUGUUUUUUGGCCAAGCCAGGUGUGUUGACAAAUUUAUGGCCUCUGCUAUGUUCCCUCUGCCACUACGACCUGCACUUUUUCAUCAGACAUAUUCUGCUCAACUUUUCCAUUUCCAGCUGUAUUAGUCCAUUCUCACACUGCUGUAAAGACAUAAUUACAACACUGGGUAAUUUAUAAAGAAAAGAAGUUUAAUUGGCUCACAGUUCCACGUGGUUGGGGAGACCUCAGGAAACUUAUAAUCAUGGUGGAAAUAAAAGGGGAAGCAAAGACCUUUCUCACAUGGUGGUAGGAGAGAGAGAGAGCGUGUGUGAGGGUGCAGGAAAAACUGCCAUUUAUAAAAUCAUCAGAUCUCAUGAGAAUUCACUCACUAUCAUGAAAACAGCACGGGGGAAACCACCCCCAUAAUCCAGUCACUUCCCACCAGGUCUCUCCCUCAACACCCAGGCAUUACAAUUCACGAUGAGAUUUGGGUGGGAACACAAAGCCUAACCACAUCACCAGCUCAAAUGCUGCAUUCUUAGGGAAGCCUUUUCUAACAUCUUCAGGCAGCAUUUUGAAACCCUUUAUGCUCUCAUACCACGUAUUCAUAUCUCUAUUUUACUUAAUUUUGAAUUGCAAUGUAUCUGUUUCAAUAAUCAGCUGUUUUUUAUAGCAUCCUGUUUAUACCUGUGCCUUAAAGUUUGUUAAUACUGUAAUCACUUCUUUAUAUUCUAAAUCUCCACUAGAGUGUGAGCAGUUUUAGGCAGGGUCUGUAUCUGUCUUCUUUAUUUCUUUAUCCCCAGAAACUAUCAUAAAUUUAGUACAUAGCAAAUGUUCAUAUGUAUUUGUGGAAUAAAAGAAUCCAUUCAUUUCUCUCCAUUCUUUUCUACAGAGAGAAGGGGUCUUUUCUCCCUAUUUUUGCUUUUUCUUAGUAUCUAUGCCUGUCACAUAAGAUGCAUUCAUACAUGUUUAUUGAAUGAAUUAUCUGUGGCUGCAUUGCAAAUUUAUUUCUUUGAACUGGUUUUUCAGAAAGAAUAAUACUUAAUUUAAGAGCUAAAGACAUGAAAAAAAUUUUCAUUGAUGUAACUUGGUCAACUACAUUCUUUAUACAUCUCAAUUUUUCUGAGUCUCCUCUUAAGGACAAUCUUUGAAUUUUAGAGCCAUUGAGAUGACUAAAUCAGUAAUUGUGAGAUCAUUACUUUACUCCCCAUUACAUUUUUAAACCUAUUUUAAGUACAAUAAAUUCUACAGGCACUUAAUUUUGGAAGUAAUGCAUGGCAAGAGGUUAAAUAAUCAGUGAAAAGAGAGGACAAUGCUCUGACUCACAAAUACCAUUCCUUUUUAUCAAUUAUUCUGGCUCCUGGAGGUCUUCUCUUUAUAGUUUGACCUAUGAGUUGUGUAAGUUUGGCAGAAUAACAAUGUGCUGAUGCACAUACAACAUCAAGUGAAAUCAUCUCAUGGGAAGAACAUGAUAUUUUGUUGUAUAGCUUAUGGAAUUUUGUAAGAAGUACAUUUUGUUUCUUUGUCAUAGCUUCAAAACAUUUUUUUCUUCUUAUAUAGGUUGAUUCCUCCAAACUAAAAUAAAAAGAUUUUCUUUAUAUCUUGUAUAUUGUCAGGCUAAUUAUUUCUAACAACCAACAUAUAUUUAUUGAAUAUUUACCAUGUACCCAUUACUGCAGAAGACUUAAAAGCAAUGUCAUAUAAAUCCAAGUUUCUGACCUCCUCCAGGGGCUGAUAGUUUUCUUAGAGACACAAUAUCUUGCCAUAAAAUCACCCUUCCUUCCUUCCUUCUUUCCUUUCUUCCUUCCUUCUUUUCUUCCUUCCCUCCUUCCUCCCUUACUUUCUCCCUUCCUUCCUUCUUUCCCUCCUCCUUCUCUUUCUCCUCUUCCUUUUUCCUAAUUAGAGGAUUCUAUUUGUGUUUUAGUAUAUAUUUAUAUUUAGGACAUUGGAGUAUAAUAUUUACUUUAACUCCUUCAAUCUUUAUCUAACACUCAGCUAUUUUUGAGUUCUGCAGAAGGAAAUGAAUCAUCAUCUGGAAAAACUGAUUUCCUUCCCACGGUCCUAGAGACAAAUCGAAAUGACCAGUCCCAAUAAAAAAUUGACUAUUUUUCCAUCUAACAUUAAAUUAUGGUCUAAAAUUGGGAGAUAAGAGUAUGACACAUAAAUAUAAAUAAACAAAAGUGUAUAUUCAUUUUGCAUGGAACUACUCAAAUUUGCAACUCAAUCUUUAGAAAUAAAAAUGGUUUAAGAAAAGUUUAGGUUUUCUCAGAAAGAGUGUCAGUAAUUUUGGCCUUAGGGUGAAUUGACCUAAUCAAAAUUACUUCCUCUAAUUUACCACUAUUAACAGCACUGCCUUCACAAACUGACAUACUACACCAGUUGAGAGGUAUGUGACAGCUUUGUUACUGGUGAUACUGCUACUAAUGCUAGUAAUAAUUAUACUUUAAAAUUAGAGAUAAUUCAUGUUUUAGGCCAAUAUCCCUUUUCAUCUUCUGCAUCCUGAAAUAGUUUCUUGAGAGAAGAGGAAAGAGUUGUAGCUCUCAUGCUUGGAAUGCCCAUGGGAGUGUGAGGCAGACUCAAAUUUCAGCUGGUACAUGUGUCACAGUUGAACAUGUUGCAAGUCGUAAGUGAACAUCCUGAAACUUUGAAAAGAAAGUAUGAGAGUAAUUUUGGAGAAUGGGAUAGUGACUAAAUGAGGCAAACAUGGGAGAAGAGAGCAAAUAGAGAGUAUAAGGGUGGAUGCCUUGAUAAAGAGACCAAAAGCAAAGAAAGGAAUACCAAAAGAAGAGUUAGAAAACCAUUGAAACAAAUAGACUACUUAAUAAUUUUAAUUGAAGCAGGACUUGCCAUUUUUUGGAAGAUGACUUUUGACUACUGCUUCCUUUUCUUUCAUGAUAUUAGUUGUUUUUUACUUGGAUAAGUUUUGAUCACUUUUUUUCAAAAAAUUUUCUAGAUUUCAACAUGCACAUACCAGGUUGUAGGUAGUCAGUAGAAUGGAUAGAGAAAUCUCUGGCAUUUCCAGACAAGAGAUUUGCAGAGCAGCUCAGUAAGGUUCUGGAGCAAGGCUAUGCCUUCUGAGGCAUUGCAAGCAGAGCCUGUUGGACACUUAAAAAGCAACUCUUGGCGCACUGCUGGGCUCUAGCAGAGAGUGCGCUGGCCCAUGGGAUAUCAGGUCAUGAUGCAACUUGUUAUGAUCUGACCCACAGAGUCAUGAGGUUGCGCAGGUGCGGUAGUGAUCCAUUAGACUAUGGAAAUAGUUCUUUUGAGGUCAGGCCUGGCCAAACAAGCGGCCAAGACCUGCAUGUCACCUAUGUCACAGCAAUGAGACCUUCGUCUUUUUCUGAAUUUCAUAACAAUGUUUUCAGAAUUUUAGUGUUAUGAUGGCCUUUUCAUUUUGAUACAUAGCUAAACAUAAGGUCAAGAAUAUUUCCUGCAAGACCUAUUAUAAUAACAUUUAAAAAACAGUAAUGGUUGGCAGAUUAUCAAAUGCCUUUUUGACCUGGGUGAAGAUGACUCAAAUUUUUCCUUUUGACCCAAUAUUAAGGAAAUGAUAUUAAUAGAUUUCUUAAAAUUAAAUCUUUCUAUUAUCCCUGAAAUUAAUUCCCCUUUAUUAUACAAUAUUAUUCCUUUAAUAGGCAGGUGAGUUCUAUUUGCUAAUAUGUUAUUUAAAAGUUUUGGAGUGAUAUGGUGUUUGAACUGUAGUUUUCUUUUUUCAUACUCUUUGUUAUGCAGAUUUUAGAAUUUUUCUUUCUUUCUCUAUCAUCUGAAAUAUUUAAAAUAGUAUCAAACCUCUGUUCCUUAAAGUUUUGAUAGAAUUUGCUAGGGAUGAGUUGAAAUAUUUGCAUUUUGACUAUUAAUAAACUUUCUGAAUGCAUUAAGUAGAUCCUUUCACUGUAACGAAUACUUUUAUUAGAAACACAAUUAGUUUCUUUAGGAAUUUAAACAAAAUUGAACAAAAUCUUUACUUUCAGAAAACAUUAUUAUAAAAGUUUAUAAUAAUGGCAUAAUAACUGAGAUUAAAUAAAAUACAUCCUACUAAAUUGGAAAAAAAUCUUAAAAAUCAGAACUCCAACACUAUGUAUGAUUCCUAGAACAAAACUGUGAGGCAGAUAAGUCUAGAGCUUCAGAAACAUAUGUAGUUUUCAGCACGGUGGUUACAUGGACUUGUCCAAGACUAUAAAGAAAUCACCAUCACUGAAAUUUUCUAAAUAUUAGGAGGCAAUAAUACAUACUUGCUGUAUGCUGUAAGUAUUUUGUUCUUUUCCCUGACAGAGAUACUAUGAAUAAAGGAGUUCUGGUCAGGGUCAGAUAAACCUAUCUUCAGGUUUCUCUGUUAGCCUGUGUUUACCACUAAACUUUGAGAAUUUGCUUUGAAAUAUGGAAAGUAUUAUAACUAAAGUGGAAAGAGUAAUUUAGUGUAGAAAUAAAAAGUUUAAUACUUAUGCCUCUACUUUGUAAAUGUGUGUUCUCGAGCACUCCAUUCACGAGUUUCUGCAUAAAAAUGGGAAAGUACUGGCUAAACGUACAUUACAGUUUUUGUGAGGAUUGUGUGAAGUAGAUAUGAAAAAAUUUUAUUAUGAUGCUCUUUUCACCUUCAUCUAUUUAUUAAUUUAAACAAUAAUAUUUAGAAUAAUAAAACAAUAAUUUUUAGAGUAAGUUAAUUAAAACAAUAGAUAUAACAAUAAAACAUUUACUAAAAUUUGUGACAUUUUACUCAGCUAUGAUUAGAAGAGAAAAAUGAAAAGCAAAAAUGGAAAAAAUAAAGGCUCAGAAAAGAAACAAGUUAUGCUAUAUUUACCUCUCCCAAAAGAGACUGAAGCUGAAGUGGGCUCACCUGUUGUGUCUGGACACAAAUUAUAUUUAUAUUGUAUAUUUUGUGUGCCUGAACCUUGCACAUACCAGUAUGUAUACACAGACACAUCUAUUAUAUAACCUCAACUUCAUUGGUUAUAAGAUUUUUUUGUAAACAUUUUUUGCUUUAAACAAAGAAUUCACAAAUCUAUUCACCAGUGCCUUUCCCCCUCAUUUCUUUUCUUCCUUUAAAAUUUCGUUUUUAUUUUUGUGAUAAAUUGUACAUUAGACAUAUGAAUUAUUAAAGAAUAAUAAUGUGAAUAUUAAGAAAUAGGACCCUGUUAAUAGUAUGGAAACUCUGAUGUGCUCCUCUCAAUCAUACUUUCCGCUCUCACUUGCCAGAGGUAACCAAGAGAAGAAUUCUGUUACUUCCUUGUUUGUUAUUGUUGUUUUUUUAAACAGAUUUAUUGCAUGUUAAUGUAAUCUCAGAACAACACAUUACUGAAAUUGGGCUACUUUAAACUUUAUAUUAAAAUUGUAAUGCAUACAUUUCUAUUUUAUCUUUUAUCUUGCUCAAUUCUAUAGAUUUUAAAGUCAUUCAUGUGACAGCAACAAAAAAGCAAUCCAGGUAAAAAAUGGGCAAAGAACUUAAUUAGCUAUUUCUUUAGAGAAGUUAUACAAAUGACCAACAAGCAUAUGAAAAGAUGUUCAACAUCUCUAAUCAUUAGGGAAAUGCAAAUCAAAGACAAAAUGAGAUAUCACCUCAUGCCUAUCAGGAUGGCUACUAUCAAAAAACAAACAAACAAAUCCCGGAAAAUAACAAGUGUUGUCAAUCAAAUUAAAGAAGUUAGAUGAUUUGUGCACUGUUGGUGGGAAUGUAAAAAAUUAGGCAGCUGCUAUAGGGAACAGUAUGGCAGUUCCUCAAAAAAUUAAAAAUAUAAUUAUCAUAUGAUUCAGCAAUUCCACUUCUGGAUAUAUGCCCAAAAUAAUUCAAACCAAGUUCUUGAAGAGAUAUUUGGACACACAUGUUCAUAGCAGCGUUAUUCACAAUAGCCAAAAGAUGGAAGCAGCCCAAGUGUCCAUCAAUGGAUGAACGGAUUUGAAAAAUGUGGCAUAUACAUACAAUGGAAUAUUAUUCAGCCUUUUUUAAAGAAAGGAAAUUAUGAAACAUGCUUCAUGUAUGAACCUUGAGUAUAUUAUGCUGAGUGAAAUAAGCCAGUCACCAAAACACAAAUACUAUACAAUUUUACUCAUAUGAGGUACCUAAAGUAGUCAAAUUCAUACAGAUAGAAAGUAGAAAGGUGAUUGCCAGGCACUGGGGGGAAGGGGAAAUGGAGAAUUGUUUAAUGGGUUAUAGAGUUUCAGUUUUGCAAGAUGAGAAGAAUUCUAGAGAUUGGUUACAUAACACUAUGAAUGUAUUUAAUAUUACUGAACUGGGAUGAUUAAAAAUGGUUAAGAUGAGAAACUUUAUGUGAUAUAUAUUUUACCAUAAUUUUAAAAAGUCAUACAUAUAUAUGUGUAUGCAAUACCAUCAUUAUAUUUCUGCAAAUGUAAUUAUUUAUUCUGGGGACUAUUUUGCUUGUUUUGAGAUCUCGUUGUCUUUUUACUCUCUUUAUAAGUUUUUUGUUGAAAUAAAUUAUUAAUUUCAAUAUAGCCAAAUUUACCAAACUUUUCUUUUAUGAUUGCCACUUAAAAAUCUUUCCUCAAUAAAUAUUUCCCCGCCUUGAAGUCAUAAAACAUUUUCCUUAUUAUUAAGUAUAUUAAAGUUUUAAAAAAAAUUCUAUUUAAGUCUUUGAUCUAUCUAAAAUUCAUUUUUUGUGAAGCAGGAUAUUUAUUUCUUUAUUUUUCCUAUAUAAAUAACUAAAUGUCUCUGCAGCAUUUAUUGAACAGCCCCUCCUUUCCCACUGAUUCGCAUUUCCAAUUCUGUCACGUAUCCCAUUUCUAUGAGUGUAUUUUUGGAACUUUCAUUUCUCUUCCAUUGAUCAAAUUUCUAUCUCUGUAUCCCAGCCAUCUUCUUAAUUCCUUUGAUUUUUUAAAUCUCAAAAGUUACAUUUUCUAAUGUGUGUUGCUGGUGUAUAUAAACUUAGUUGGAUUUGUAUAUUGAUUUAGUGUAAGACAGCAUGACUAAACUCUUUAAUUAAUUUGGUAAUUUUUUCAUAGAUUAUUUGAGGUCUUAUAUUUACAGAAUGAGAUCACUUGGUAAUAAUGAUAACUUUUCCUCCCUUCAUAAAGCUUAUACUAUUUUCAUAUUUUUUCAUCUCUUAUAGUGCAGGGGCUUCAAUUUAAUAUUGAAUAGAUGAUGGCAUCUUGGUCUUGUUUCUAUUUUCUUCUUUCCUUUAAAGAAAAUAUUUUAGAUUCAGGGGUACAUGUAUAAGUUUCUUAUACGUGUAAACUCAUGACUCAGGGGUUUGGUAUACAGAUUAUUUCAUCACCUGGGUACUAAGCGUAGUACCUCACAGUUUUUUUUUUUUCCCCGAACCUCUCCCUCCUCCCACUCUUCUCCCUCAAGUAGGCCCCAGGAUCUGUUGUUCCCCUCUUUCUGUCCAUGUGUCUUCAUCAUUUAGCUGCCACUUACAAAUAAGAACGUGCAGUAUUUUGUUUCUGUUCCUGUGUUAGUUUGUUAAGGAUAAUGGCCUUCAGUUACAUCCAUGUUCCUGCAAAGGACGUAAUCUCAUUCUUUUUAAUGGCUGCAUAGUAUUCUGUGGUAUAUAUGUACUCCAUUUUCUUUAUCCAGUCUAUUGUUGAUGGGCAUUUAGGUUGAUUCCUUGUCUUUGCUAUUGUGACUAGUGCUACGAUGCACAUACACGUGCAUGUGUCUUUAUAACUGAACAAUUUAUAUUCCUUUGGGCAUGUACCCAAUAAUGGGAUUGCUGGGUCAAAUGGUAAUUCUGUUUUAAGUUCUUUGAGGAAUCACUACACUGUUUUCCACAAUGGCUGAACUAAUUUACACUCCCACCAGCAGCGUAUAAGCAUUCCCUUUUCUCUGCAACCUCACCAACAUCUGCUAUUUUUAUGACUUUUUAACAAAAGCCAUUCUGACUGGUGUGAAAUGUUAUCUCAUUGUGGUUUUAAUUUGUAUUUCCUAAUGAUUAGUGAGAUUGAGCCCUCUUUCAUACGCUUGUUGGCCACACGUAUGUCUUCUUUUGAAAAGUGUGUGUUCAUGUCCUUUGUUUUUUAACUGGGUUCUUUGUUUUUUGUUUGUACAGUUGUUUAAGUUCUUUGUAGAUUCUGGAUAUUAGGCAUUUAGCAUAUGUUAAUUUGCAAAUAUUUUCUCUCAUUCUGUAGACUGCCUGUUUACUCUGUUGAUAGUUUCUUUUGCUGUGCAGAAGCUCUUUAGUUUAAUUAGGUCGCAUUUGUCAAUUUUUGCUUUUAUUGCAAUUGGUUUUGACAUUUUCAUCAUGAAAUCUUUGCUAGUUCCUGUGUCUAAAAUGGUAUUUCCUAGGUUGUCUUCCGUGGGUUUUAUAGCUUUCAGUUUUAUAUUUAGGUCUUUAAUCCAUCUUGAGUUGAUUUUUAUAUAAGGUGUAAAAAGGGGUCUAGCUUCAAUCUUCUGUAUAUAGCUAGCCAUUCAUCCCAGCAUCAUUAAUUGAAUAAGCAUUCCUUUCCCCAUGGCUUUUUGUAAGCUUUGUCAAAGCUCAGAUGGAUUCAGGUGUGUGGCUUUAUUUCUGAGCUCUGUAUUCUAUUCCGUUGGUCUAUUGAUCUGUUUUUGUACCAGCAACAUGCUGUUUUGGUUUCUGUAGCCUUGUAGUACAGUUUGAAGUUGGGCAGUACGAUUCCUUCAGCUUUGAUCUUUUUGCUUAGGAUUGCCUUGGGUAUUCAGGCUCUUUUUUGGUUCCACAUGAAUUUACAGUUUUUUUCUAGUUCUGUGAAGAAUGCUAUUGGUAGUUUGAUAGGAAUAGCAUUGCGUCUGUAAAUUACUUUGGACAGUAUGACCAUUUUAAUGAUAGUGACUUUUCCUAUUCAUGAACAUGAAAUAUUCAUCUAUUUGUCUGUGUCAUUUCUGAUUUCUUUGAGCAGUGUUCUAUAAUUCUCAUUGUAGAGAUCUUUCACUUCCCUAGUUAGCUGUAUUCCCAGAUAUUUUAUUCUUUUCAUGGCAAUAGUCAGUGUGAUUGUGUUCCUGAUUUGGCUCUCAGCUUGGGUGCUGUUGGUGUACAUGAAUGCUACUGAUUUUUGCACAUUGAUUUUGUAUCCUGAGAUUUUGCUGAAGUUGUUUAUCAGCUCAAGGAGCUUUUGGGCAGAAACCAUGGGGUUUUAUAGUUACAGAAUUAUGUCUUCUGCAAACAGUGAUAGUUUGACUUCUUCUCUUCAAAUUUAGAUGUCUUUUAUUUCUUUCUCUUGUCUGAUUGCUCUGGCCAGGACUUCCUCUUGUUCCUAAUUUUUAAGAAAAUGCAUUAACAUUUUAUUAUUAUAUAUGAUGUUUGCUGUAGCUAUUUUUACAUAUACCUUCUAUUAUAUUAAAACAGUUUUCUCUAUUCAUUGUUUGCUAAGAAUUAUUCUCGGCCAGGCAUGGUGGCUCAUGCCUGUAAUCCCAGCACUUUGGGAGGCCGAGGCAGGUGGAUCACCUGAGGUCAGGAGCUCGAGACCAACAUGGUCAACACGGUGAAACCCCGUCUCUACUAAAAAUAUAAAAAUUAGCCGGGCAUGGUGGCGGGCACCUGUAAUCUCAUCUACUCGGGAGACAGACUCAGGAGAAUUGCUGGAACCCAGGAGGCGGAGGUUGCAGUGAGCCGAGAUCGAGCCAUAGCACUCCAGCCCGAGCUGACAACAGUGAGACUGUCAAAAAAAAAAGAAUUAUUCUCAUCUGUGUAUGUUGAUUGAUAUUUAAUGUUAAUUUUUUAGUUGACAAUUACAUAAUUUUCUCAUUUAAUCUGUUAAAGGAGAUUAUUUUAUGGUGAAUUAUAUUAAUUAUCUAAUGUUAAGAAAACUUGGUCAUUAUAUAUUAUCUUUUAUAUACAUUUCUGGAUUUGAUUUUUUACAUUUUUCUUAGGACACUUCACUAAUUACAUUGGUCUUUUUUUGUAGUGUCUUUGGUUAUUCUGUCAAAGUUCCGGUAGCCAUCUAAAAUGAGUUGUGAUGUUUUCUCUAUCUAUUCUCUGGAAAAAUUUCUUUAAAAUUCAGAUCAAUCAUUCUGUAUUUUCUGCGAAGGAAAAUUUCAAAUAAUGAAUUCAUUUUCUUUUAUAUUUACAGUUGAUUUUUCUAACCAUUUGUGCAAUGGCUUUGAAGUUUAUUUUGACUGAAAUUAGCAUAGGCUUCUUUUGGUUAAUAUUUGCAGUUUUCAUGUUUCAUUCUUUCAAAUGUUUUCCAAACUAAAGUUCCCUUUCAUAUAUAUUAUUGUUUAUUUGUACUGUUUUUACUUUUUCUGAAUUAAUAUUACCAGAAAUUAUUUAUUUUAUUAGUCUUCUCAGUCUCUUUAUGUAAUCUUUUGUCGAAAUAAAUACUCAGCCAUAUUUCUGGUUUUUAUUUUGUUUUGUUUUAGGUGCAAGAAAGGCUUAUACCCAUACCCUAGAAGUUAAGUAUGGCCAUGUGAUUCACAUUGGCCAAUGAAACAUAAGAAUAUGUGACUGUAUCACCCCCAGAUGUGCAAAUCUCCAUGUUCUCUUUCCUUGCUAUGGCAAAUGCUGAACUCCUUGUUGAGAUUGAAAGAGAUAGUAGGGCCUCUGGCAGCCUGAAACCCUCAGUGACUUCAAUGAGUAGAACCUCCCUAAUAACUCCUGGUGCUAUGAAAUAUAAGUUAGAAAUAAAGCUUUUGUUACUUUUAGGCACUGUUAUCUUGGUGGUAUUUGUGUCAUAGCAUAACUAGCCUAUCCUGACUCUGGAAUAACAUAUUAACAUUUAUUAUGACUUAUGGUGGGAUAUGGAUUUUAUUAUAUUAUUUAAUAUACUUUUCCAUAUGUUUGGACAAUUUCAAUAUUUAAAAUUAAAUUAAAAAUAGUAUUUUAAAAUGUUUUCAUAGCUACAUAUAUUUGGUCUAUUUUAAAGCAUAGGAAAUUUUAGGCUUGGGUUAAACAACUUGUUUCUGAGCCAAAUGGCAAAGUGAAUCCCUAAGUAUUUAAUUCAAAAUUCUUAUGAUUAUAGCCCAUUAAACAGACCUUUAUUUUCUUUACUUGAAUUCAAAUUCUUUGUGUCCCUUAACACAGAAGUUUACUAAUUAGUGGCCUUUCCUGGUUUCUGGUCUCAGAAUCCUGGCCCUGGAUCAAAUACUGAGAGAGACACUAUUAACCUGCUAUAAUCCCUGCAAUAAAACAUGUGGGAAAGGAUCAGGGAUCACUGCUCUGAACUACAUUUCAUAUUAUAUUCAUCUGAUAGUUGAUUUUCAAGGCCAUCAGAAAGCUUAGAAGUCAGCACGCUACAGACCUUCGGCAGUAUUAUCUGUGCAUUUCACAGCCUCAUUCACUCUAGACUGGUUUUUAUGUUAUUCUCUAAGCUUUGAGAAUUUCCAUGGUAAGUAGGUGCUAGAAAUGCUAGAAAUGUGGACUGACAGAAAUUCCUCACAGAAAGCUUUCCCAAAGUCCAAUCAGAAAUAAGCUUAUCAGAAACAAUCAGAAAUUCUUGUGUCUUUUCUGAACUAGUAGGUAGAGUUUUAGAGGUCAUUUCUUUUUUUGACCCAUUUGCUAAGAAUCAUCUUUUGUAGAGCACAGGCUUUAUGUAGUACUUUAUGUUUUUUGUGAAAUAGGAAAACACCAGUGUCUAGAUCCCAGAUCGCCAACUCCCAAGCCACAGACUGGUACCAGUCCAUGGCCUGGUAGGAACUGGGCCACACAGCAGGAGGUGAGUGACAGGUAAGAUAGCAAAGCUUAAGCUGUAUUUACAGCCCUUCUCAAUUGCUCACAUUAUUUCCCAAGCUCCGCCUUCUGUCAGAUCAGUGGCAGCAUUAGAUUCCCAUAGGAGCACAAAACCUAUUGUGAACUGUGCAUGCGAGGGGUCUAGGUUGCAUGCCCUUUAUGCACGUCUAAUACCUGAUGAUCUGUCACCGUCUUUCAUCACCUCCAGAUGGGACCAUUUAGUUGGAGGAAAACAAGCUUAGGGCACCCACUGAUUCUAUAUGAUGGGGAGUUGUGUAAUUAUUAGAUGGUGUAAUUAUUAGAUGGUAAGUAGUAUUAUACAUUACAAUGUAAUACUAAUAGAAAUAGAUAAAGUGCAAAAUUAAUGUAAUGCACUUGAAUCAUCCCAAAUAAUUCUCUCCCCAACACCCCCACCAGUCUGUGAAAAAAUUGUCUUCCAUGAGACUGGUCCCUGGUGCCAAAAAGGUUAAGGACUGCUGCUCUAGAUCAUUUCUUUUACGUACCAAGUGUUCCAAGAAUACUAUAACAAAAAACAUCAAAAGUUCAGUAGAAAAUGGGCAAAGGGCAUAAGCAAACUGGUCAGAGUAAAAAAAAAUAUAUAUGAAGGGUCCUUAGUUGCAUGAAAAGAUACUCAUCUUGAAAGUCCAAAAGUUUGACCUGCCCUUUGUGUGCCAGUCUUCAGAGGAAAAGACAUUUCCUUACAAUGCUUGUCAGACUGUCAAACGAUAUUAAAUACAACCUCUGUGGAAGGCAAUCUGACAAUAACUCUCAAAAUAAAACAUGAAUUCCAUUUUUAGGAAUUCAUCCUACAGGUAGAUCUACACAUGUACAUGAUGUUUGUAAUUAUAAGUUUUUAUACUUCAGAAUCUUGUGUCCAUCAAUAAACAAUUGGUUUUUACAUAAGGCAAUAUUAUGCAGUUUUUAAAAAGAACAAAGAGAUCUCCAUGUACUUAUGUGGAAAUAAUCAAGAUAUAGUAUUAACUGAAAAAAGAGCAAGUCUCAUAAGAUUGCAUACAAAAGUAGGUCACGUUUUGUGUAUGAAAAGAGGAACAAAUUUUCAAUGACAUAUGCUUAUUGUUGCCUAGGAAACAGUGGAUGGAUAAAUAAUAAACUAAUAAAAUACAUUAUUUACAGGGAGAAGGAGAACUGUUGGAUGGGGGCAAAAGUAAAGCUUAUUAUAUAGUUUUUAUUUUUGAACCAUGUGAAUGCAUUAUCCAUUCAAAAGUAAAAUAAGCCAGUUUGAUGGCUCAUGCUCGUAACUCCCAACAUGUUGAGAGUUAGAGGCCAGGAGUUUGAGUUCAGCCUGGGAAACAUAGAGAAACCUUGUCUCUACUAAAAACAAACAAAAAAUUAGCUGGGCAUGGUGGUAUGUGACUGUAGUCCUAGCUAUUUGGGAGACAGGUAGGAAGAUGCUUUAAGCCCAGGAGGUUGAGGCUGCAGCAAGUCAUAAUCACACCACUGCACUCCAGCCUGAGCAACAGAGCAAGACCCUGUCUCAAAAAAUAAAAAAUAAAAUAAAAAUAAAACAUAAAACCCAUAGCAACAAACUCCCAGCCCCUGGCUGUCAAAAUGUCUGUAGGGUCAGACAUUUCUCUGGGCCACUCAGAAACUUAUUACUUUAGCUCUAAAUUUUCUCUUGAUUUCUGACACCUCAGUUUCCUCCCUUUUUUUCUUGUGAAUUCAGCUAUGUAUUUAAAACUUAAAAAAAUUAUCUAAUAUUAUUAUGAAUUUUCAGUAGGAGAGGUGUUCCGGUUGGUUUUGUUUUUGAAAUUGCUGGAGCCCCAGUAUAUUCAUAGAAUUAAGCAGCCAAAAUGAUUUCUCAAAGUUAAAGAGUGGAAAGAUUUUAACUCAGCAAACUCACUGUAAUGGUUAAUACUGAGUGUCAACUUGACUGGAUUGAGGGAUGCCAAGUAUUGAUCCUGGGUGUGUCUGUGAUGGUAUUGCCAAAGGAGAUUAACAUUCGAGUCAGUGGGCUGGGAAAGGCAGACCUGCCCUUAAUCUGGGUGGCCACAAUCUAAUCAGCUGCCAGCACAGCCAGAAUAAAAGCAGGUGGAAGAACAAGAAAAGACUAGGUUGACUUAGCCUCCCAGCCUACAUCUUUUUCCUGUGCUGGAUGCUUUCUGCCUUCAAACAUCGGACUCCAAGUUCUUCAGCUUUGGAACUCUGGCUGGCUACCUGGCUCUUCAGCUUGCAGAUGGCCUAUUGUGGGACUUUGUGAUCAUGUGAGUUAAUACUCCUUAAUAAACUCACAUAUAUAAAUAUAUAUAUUCUAUUAGUUCUGUCUCUCUAGAGAAACCUGACUAAUACACUCACAUAAGAGACAAGCUUUAUAAGGCUCACUUAUGUGGUGUGUACUUAAAUGGCCCUUUGUGAUCAUCCCUUCUUGAAGGAGAUAUACCUAAUGUAAAUGACGAGUUAAUGGGUGCAGCACACCAACAUGGCACAUGUAUACAUACGUAACAAACCCGCACAUUGUGCACAUGUACCCCAGAACUUAAAGUAUAAUAAAAAAAUUUUUUUAAAGUCAAUAUUGGCUUGUAUAUAUCAUGAAAUUUCUAAGCUAUGAUGUUAUGACUCUUUGCUCUUGUUAACAGAGAAGUAAGAGUCCUGAUCUGUGUAUUUAGUUUCAUAUAUGAGUAUAUUUAACACUACAUCAGAGAUCACCUGUUCUCUUUAGCAUAUUUUAGAUUUAAAAAUGUUUUAGUCUCUGAGUAUUACUAAAUAGUUUUGUCUUAAAUUAUAUAAAGUGAUUGAGCCAGACUAAUAAACUCUUUCAUUCUUCUGAAUGGGCAGAAACAUUAGGCCUUAUAAAAAAUAAGCCUUUGUUUUUUUAGAUAUUAAUAAAUACAUUGUGAGAUAAACAUCCAUGAGGAGGAUGGAGAGUACAGUUGUAAAAGGCUUUGAGCCCUGUAUUAGUCUGUUCUCACAUUGCUAUAAAUAAAUACCUGGGACUGGGUAAUUUAUAAAGAAAAGAGGUUUAAUUGGCUCAUGGUUCGACAGGCUGUACAGGAAGCAUGGUGAGGAGGCCUCAGGAAACUUACAAUCAUGGUCAAAAGCAAAGGGGAAGCACGCAUGUCUUACAUGGACAGAGCAGGAGGAAGAGAGAGCAUGGGGAAGUGCUACACACUUUUAAACAAUCAGAUUGCGUGAGAACUCGCUCACUAUCACAAGAACAGCAAGGGGGAAAUCUGCUCCCAUGAUCCAAUCACCUCCCAGCAGGUCCUCCUCCAACAUUGGAGAUUACAAUCCGACAUGAGAUUGGGGGAGGACACAGAUGCAAACCAUAUCAAGCCCCAUCAGAAAUUGAGAUAGUUGUGGAAACAACACUGCUAAUUCAGCUGCUACACUUACCCCUAUACAAUCCCUUAUAAUUCAUUCCAUGGAAUAAACAACUUAAAAUGAAGAAUCUAAAACAAUUAAGUUGUAGCAGUUGAAUGGUGUCUCCCAGAUAUAUAUAUAUAUAUAUGGCCUAAACUCCAAUUCCUGUGAAUGUGAACUUAUUUAGUCACAGGGUUUUGUAUCAUGGGAUUACAUCAAGCUAAAACAUGGUCAUAUUAGGUUAGUAUGGGCCUUAAUUUAAUCUGACUGUUGUUCCAAUAAGAAGAAAAGAGACACAGUGACAGACAUGGGGGAGAAGGCCAUGUGAAGACAGAGGCAGAGAUUGUAAUAAUGCAACUGCAAGCCAAGGAAUGCUAAGGAUUACCAGUAAUCACCAGAGGCUUGGAAGAGGCAAGAAAAGACUCUCACCUAGAGCCUUCAGAGAGAGCAUGGUCUUGCCAAUACCUGAAUUAUGGACUCUCAAUUUCCAGAACUGGGGGUGGGAAUAAAUUUCUGUUGUAAGCCAUUUGGUGUGUGCUAAUUUGUUAUGGCAGCCCUAGGAAACUAAGGCACAAGUCAAGGUCUAAAAGUGUAAUUGACACAAUCUGCAUUUUCAAUCAUAGCCAUCUCUUGAAGGAUGUCUAAAACUUGAGAAGAUCAUUCAUGAAUUCAAAAUUGGGAGAAGGUAGCAUGGAAAAUUGGUGCCACUAUUUCUGUCUUGGAUCACUUCAACCAUAAAAAGACUUUUUUUCCCCUCUCUUUAAGGGUUUUGGUAUUAGGAGUGCUUACUUUUGUCAACCUCUUUGGUCAGUAGGAUGGAAAAUAUAUACUAAACUUUUAAUAAAAAUAAUAUAAAAUUAACAAUGUCAAACAAUAAAGAUGUUUAUGCAUCAAAAUCAUCCUUUCCUCCUUUCACCUUUAAGAUAUUCUCCAGAGAUAAGCACUAUAAACCAUAUCUUUUAUAUCAUUCUAGAAAUGUUUUAUGUAUAUACAAGCAUUUUCAUAGACAUGUAUGUUUAAACAUAACUGUGAUUGUAGUUUACAUGGGAAUUUAGGCUUUGUUUUCUCUGUUUAAUAUAUUUUGGUUGUCUUUUUAUAUUGACUCUUACAGAAUCUACCUUAUUCUUUUAAAAAUUGCUAAUAUUUUAUUGCAAGGUUCCUGCAAUUAAUAUGCCAAAUCUCUAUUAUAGGCAUUUAGAUGGAUUUCAACUUAUCAAUUAUACUGCAAUACAUGUGCUUAUAUGUAAUCUUUAAGAAUUUGUAUAUACAGCCAUGUAGUGUGAGAAAUUUAAAAAAAAUAAAAACAAAGAAUUUGUAUGUAUAUAUUUGAGGAAAAAUUUUAUGAAAACAGAAAUGUCAGGGCAUGUACACUUAAAAAUUUGAAAGCUAUUAUCGAAUAACUCUGAAGGGGAAAUAUUAAUACAUUUCCAUGUCCCCUAAUUCCUACAGCUAAUUCAGUAUACACAGAACUAUUAAACAGCAAAAUCACAACAUUGAUUUGGAUAACUUUUACUCUCAAAGAUAUAUUCAAUUUUUAAUUAAAUUAAAUAACCAUGGAGCAAAGUGUUUUAGGGAUGAAGAAGAGAGAGUCUGUUUUAAAGAUCUUGGCCUUAAUGGUUUCUUUUCAUCAACAGUCAGAAAGACCUGUGGACAACAUUCUAAGGAAACAUUAAGAAGUUGUUUUAUUACAGGUAUUUUCUAGGAAGCUACUCAAAAGAAAGUGAACCUUGUAUUUGCAGGAAUCUGUGUUGUAGCCAAUAGAAAGGCAUGGCUAAAUCAAGAGAACCACCACUGGUGACAUUAGUUCUUACACUUUUAAUUUUUUGGACCCUUAUGUUUAACUUAGAGACAUAGAAACAGCUGUAAUUUGUAUAUCACCUCUAGUAAUAGUCCAGAAUGCAUUGUCACAGAGGCAACUAAUGUGAGAAGUAAAAGAGGAAUAAUGAAUGGCUAAUAAGUUUCACCAAUUAUCUUUAUCAGGAGGGAUUGACAGUUAACAUCAGAAUCACAUUAUUACGUGAUUCUAAGUUACCAGUAUUUUGAAAUUUAUUUAUGCCUAAGUUUUAGCUGUCUAUUAGAUGACAUAUCUUAUUUAUACGUAAUUGCAUGACCACCCUACAUAUAAUAGACCAUGAACACAUAUCAGUGUCUCUCUUAUUUUUCUAAAAUUAAUUAUGUUAAUUAUGGGUUGUACUUUUAAGUCAGAAAACUUUCUGCAUCUUUUUUAAGCCUAUAGAGAAAGGUCCCCUUUUUCCUAUUGUGUAGGGGAAAUACUCAAAUAAGAAGAUCCAGUGAGUACUGACUAUCAGCAUCCAAGCUGCUGCAAGAAGCUUGAUUUUCUUAUUUAAAAAAUGCCUGAACAAGAUGAAUAGUAGCAAGACCUGUCCUGUUUUGUCCAUCUCCUAACAUUGUAAAAGAACAAGCAUGUUUCUGCAAAAUCUGUUUGCCUGUAAUGUGUGUGUGUGUGUGUGUGUGUGUGUGUGUGUGUGUGAUGAUAAUAAUGAGAUUGUGGAUGGAGAGAGUGAUAUAAGUUCCCUUGCUUUGCAUCUUACUACCCAAAGUUUCUUUGCUUUUCCAAUCCUGAGCACUUGUGGUGGGAAGACAUGACUCUGACUGACUCAGCCAGCUGGGUUGAGUCUGUGUCUAUUGAUACUUGUCCUAUGUUUAUUUCCCUGUAGCUGAACCAUAUCCUUGUUCUCUCCUGUCUCAUUUUCAGGCAGAAUUCCUGGAAUGACUCAGCUCUGCAGCUCACUUAAUUCCCAUAAGUUAUCUCUAUUUGGCCCAUAACUAGCCUGUAUUUUCUUGAGUUUCUUUGGUGACUGUUUCUCAUUGUUGCUUCCUAUCCACCAUUAGGGCUACAGUUUUAAUCCAUGUUUUGCCCAUGUACUCCUGUUAAUUCUACUCCAGCUUCCCUGAAAAAUAGGACUUGAGCCCAAUUCCUUGCAGGCUUCACGGCCAGCAGAGCACAGUGGUGUAUCACCCUGCUGGAAGCUAUAGUUGAUGACUUUAUGGCUUGUGUAAUAAGGAGGUAGAAUCCUUAGCAUUUCUAGAGGGUAGGCAUAGGCCCAUAAACUUACAUUCCUUCAAAUUCCUUCCACUUAGAAACCUCUGUCUUCUCAAAAUGAUUAAUAAUAGAUUCCAGCUAUCAAAACAACUAUUUUCAAACAGUAGAUUAUUACACAACAAGCAGGAAGUUGUGACUCAAAUGUUUUAAUUUUAUAAACAGUUUAUGAUGUAUUAUGAGAGAGCAGAGAUAUUUUCAAAAGUAUUUUAUUGUAACUAUUUGCUUUACCGAACUUUCGGCAAAAGGCAGAAUAACAAAAAUCUUAAAAUGCUGGCAUCAGUGUAACCCAUUUGUUGUUUGUGUCUGGUUAAGAAUUUGUUUAAAGACAGCAUACAAAAUAUAAACGUGUCAGUUGUUUUCACCCUGAUACUAAACGUUUAUCAUGGUGUGCUGGAGCCAGGGACUCAGCAGCCACUGAGAUUUGAGCUAGGCUGCAAAUUUAGCUGGACACUGACCAACAGUAUAACAUUGAACAGCUCACUUGACUUCUCUGAGGCUCAUUUUAUCUCAUCUGUAAUAAUGAUAGUUAGAUAUCCUCUCUUUUAAAGACUUAAAUAGGGAAUGAUACAUGAAGGCACUUAGCACAAUGCUGAUCAGACGAAUUGUCUAAAAUGCAUUCAUUACUUUUCCAACCUUUUUUCAAAAAUAAAAAAACUAUUAAUUCAACUGGAAAACUAUACAAAAGUGAGCCUAUCAGAUGCUGUGAAAUUUCUGAUGUAUUUUUCUUCUUUGUUAUUUCUGCAAUAUGAUUCUUGACAGUAACAUGUGAUAAGAACACCAGAAUGACAUCAAAGAAAUUUAGGAACUUCAAGACCACCAAGUAUCAAAGAUGCUUUUAAAUAACAUAAUUUGAAUAAAUUGAAUGCAUUUGAAUAAGGUGUCUAACCAGAGAUUGAACUAAUCCUUAAUACAUUUAACAAGAAAUUAAAAAAAGAAUCAAUCAAAAAAUGAUCUCAUCUGGAAUUUUUAGUUACAUGGCAUUUGUCUGAUAGUCUCCAAUGUCUUUUCCCUUACUUUCCACUAAAACAUUUACGAAGGUAAUGGGAGAAAAUGUUACAAAGCAAUAUUAAACACUAAGGUCCAUAGACUACCUAGAGUCAGAUUUGGGGAGGAAUCUUUGUCAAAUAUAUGAAAGUUGAAGUGAUUAGAAAAAAAAAUUUACUUCAGUAAAUACAACGGGGGUACAGGCAUUGGCUAACUACCCCCAUUCCAAAAGGGAUAAAUUGGCCAAAACCAAGGGGCUACAGGCCCUGUGCAAGUUUGAAACCCAGCAAGGCAGUCAUUAAAUCUUAAAGUCCCAAAAUAAUCUCCUUUGACUCCAUGUGUCACAUCCAGGCAACACUGAUGCGAGGGGUGGGCUCUACCCAUUAUCCAGUUCCAAAGCUGCUUCCACAUUUUCAGGUAUCUUUACAGCAAUGCCCCACUUUCUGGUACCAGUUUUCUGUAUUAGUCCAUUCUCUCAUUGCUAUAAAGAACAACCAGAGACUGGGUAGUUUAUAAAGAAAAGGGGUUUAAUUGACUCAAUUCCACAGACUGUACAGGAAGCAUGUCUGGGGAGGCCUCAGGAAACUUAGAAUCAUGGAGGAGGGUGAAUGGGAAGUAGGCACGACUUACGUGGCUGGAGAAGGAGGAAGAGAGAGAAGAAAUUGCUACACACUUUUAAACAACCAGAUCUUGUGAGAACUCACUCACUAUAACAAGAAUAGUAAGGGAAAAUCCACCCUCAUGAUCCAAUCCCCUCCUACCAGGCCUCUCCUCCAACACUGGGGACUACAACUUAACAUGGGAUAUGGGCAGGGGCACAAAUCCAAAUCAUAUCAAGGAUAAGUAGCAGUCCCAAUGGUACAUAGCUGAACAAGGAAUAUUCUCGCAAAAAACUGAGAAUUUAUCCAAGAGCUUUUUAUAUUAACUUUCUCUCCAGCUGUAGAUUUGAGAAAUAGAUUUAAUCAUUAUCCAAGAAUGUAUGAAUUGAACCAGAGGCAAUCCACAUAACCUGUCUGUUGACAAAUACAAAUCUGAAAAGAUUUGGUUUGAAAAAACAGUAUCCAAAACCAUGGGGAAAGAGUAUUUCAAACACAACCUAACAUACAGUCUAUCAUAUGGGUUAGAAAAUGAGUGUACAUCCUUAAUAGAAUGCAAGAAGUCUUGGCCUUUUUGAAAUAGUAGCAGAAAAUUAUAAAGGGAAAACAUGACGCAUUAAAAGGACAUUACCAAGAGGUUAAAAAGAGAUAAAAAGAGAGAAGACUAAGUAAGGAUUUCUAAAAAAUAAGAAAAAUAGCAUAGAUAAAAUCCACUGCAGAGUUAAAGAAGCAGUAAAAGAUAUUGUAGAAAAUUAAAUCAGUGUAUAAACUUCCAAAGCUCUCACAGAACAUAUAUAGAGAGAACAAAGAUAAGAAAAUUGUGAUAGUGAAGAUAAAAGACAUGGUGUACAAAGAAUAUAGAGUCAGUAUACAGAGAGUACAUUUAGCUGCAAAAAAAUCUCAAAAAUAAAAACCAGUUGUACCAGUCUGUUUUUGCACUGCUAUAAUGAACUACCUGAGACUGGUUAAUUUAUAAAGGAAAAAAGUUUAAUUGAUUCACAGUUCCACAUGGCUGGCGAGGCCUCAGGAAAGUUACAAUCAUAGAUGAAGGGGAAGCAAGUCACAACUUACAUUGCAGCAGGAGAGAGAGAGCAAAACGGGGAAGCACUACACUUUUAAACCACCAGAUCUCAUGAGAAUUCCAUCACAAGACAACACUAGGAGGAUGGUGCUAAACUGUUAUAAACCAGCCCCAUGAUCCAAUCCCCUCCCGCCAGGUCCCUCCCUUGACAAAUGGGGAUUACAUUUUGAGAUGAGUUUGGAUGGGGACACAGAGCCAAACCAUAUCACCAGUAAAAUCAGAAUAAGCAAUUAAAAGAAGCAUAAAUAAAAAACAAUUUUCUGUGCUGAAAAAGGAUCUGGGUAUCUGUUCAAAGAGCUCACUACAUUCUAGAAAAAAAUCCAUUAAAAUAUAUACAUUUAGAUAUAUUAUUUUUUGAGGUGCAGUCAUAAGUUAAAAGUCCUCUUUUUAUCCAGCAUAGAAACAAUGACUAAAAGAACAAGCAACCAAAAUCUUACCCUCAGAACAGGAAUUAGAGUAUACUCAGACUGCUUGUACAGCCCUAAGUACCAGAAUAACAAGAAACAUCUAAUAAUAAAAAUAUUUAUCAUAUCAUUUAUUUGAAUGCCUGCUGCAUUUAACAUACUUACAUAUUUUAUCUCUUUAUUUCAAACAACAACCCUAUGAGGUAGGUAAUAUAUCCUCAUUUGUAGAAACUGAGAUUCAGACACAGAGCAUGACCAAAAUCUCAUAGCCAUAAAGUUAUAGAAAUAAAAUCUAAUGUAAGUUUACUUGAUUCCAAAACAUGUGCUUUUUAAAUUGUGGUAUGCAGCCCCUAUGAUACUUGAGAGGAAAUGUCUUUGAUCUAGAUUUUAGCACCCUGCUAAGUUGUUUUUAACAAGGGUAUUAGUCUGUUCUCACGCUGCUAAUAAAGAUAUACCUGAGACUGGGUAAUUUGUAAAGAAAAGAGGUUUCGUUUACUCAGAGUUCCACAUGGCUUGGGGGGUCUCAUAAUUAUGGUGGAGGGCAAGGAGGGGCAAAGUCAUGUCUUACAUGGUGGCAAGCAAAAGGAGAGCAUGUGCAGGGGAACUCCUCUUUAUAGAACCAUCAAAUCUCAUAAGACUUAUUCACUAUCAUGAGAACAGCAUGUGAAAGACUUGCCCCCAUGAUUCAAUUACCUCCCACUGUGUCCCUCCCAUAACACAUGGGAAUUAUGGGAGCUAUAAUUCAAGAUGAAAUUUGGGUGAGUACACAGCCAAACCAUAUCAACAACAAACAAGAGAAAAGCAUGGUCAGAUAAGCAAAGUCUCAGAAAAUAUGCUUUUUGAAAACAAAUAUGCUUUUUGAAGGCUGCUCAUAUGCUUUUUAAAACAAUUAGUACCAGACUGACUUUAGUUAUGCAAGAAAAUCAUACAAAUUAAGACAUAUAAAAGUCAAUUCUAUUGGAAAGGGAUUGGGGCUGAGUUUUGGAACCUUUUACGAAGUUACAGAAAAUAAUUAUAAUGAAUCAAAUUAGGGUUAUGGUGUCAGAGAUGAAAAUGAGAAAAUAGGUUUGCAAGAAUUAAUGAGGCAUUGACCACGGGUGGGGAGUGAUGAAAUAGAGACACUCUUGGACAACUUUUAGAUAUACAGACUUUAGUGAGUAGAUGAAUCUUAGUGAUGACUAGCAUACAGUAGGAAGAACAGAAUUUCAUUAAAAAAUCAUUAAUCUUUGAAUAUGCAGAGCUUGUUUCUUUUGUCAUAUACCUACAGGCAAGCAAUUAAACAGGACUAAUAUUCAUGAGAAAGGUUUUGGGUGGAGCUGCAGACUUGGAAAGGGAUAUUAAAGACUGAGAAGUGAGUGAGAUCACUUAAGGAGAGCAUGACAGAUGUGAAUAAGACAGGCAUUAGAGAAUGUGGCAUGCAGGAGUUAAGAAGUAGAAACAUGCAAUAACAAAUAGUCAAUGAAAGAAAGUUUUAAGAAGAAAGUAAUUAUAAACAAUGCCAAGGGCUAUGCAGAGAGGUCAGUAAAAUGAAGAUACAAAGCAUGCCCAAUGAAUAGAGCACUGGAAGAAGCAUUGGAAGAUACACAGCAUAUCCAUUGAAUUGACAGCUGUGGAAGAAGCACUUUGCAUAAAAUUGUGAUACUGAGAGUCUGACUAAUGAGUUGAGGUAGUAGGGAAGUGAAGAUAGUGAAUGAGAGAAGGAACAGUUGAAGGAACCGUUUGGUUUUGAAAGACUACAGAUAUCUGAGCAUAUUUACAGUCUGGAUGGAAGGAUCUCAAAGAGAAAGGGGAUGGAGGAGGGAGAGAGAUUGCAUCAUUGGUAGAGCUUGAAACAAAGCCCUGAAUGAGGUAUGAAAGAGCAGAGCUGGAAAAAUUGUCUUAGGAAAGGAGAAUGAAUACCUUGUACCUGAAUGAUGGCAAAUAUGAAUGCUUUUGUAAUGAGAAGUUGAGGCAUUUUUCUCUGACACCUCUGUUUUCUCUGAGAUGUUAGAGAUAAGGUCAUGUGUUAAAAUUGCAUGAAGUAGGGAAUAUGCAGAGGAUUUGAGGAGAGUUUCUUUUUAAAAUUAAUAUGCUAUUUUAUAAACAAAGUUAUAUGUGUAAUAUGUAUGUAAGUUAUGAUGUAGAAUAAGAAGGUGAACACCAGGAAUCCACCAUCCAGCGUAUGCUCUAGAAGACUAUAUGUUUAUUCCCCAUCUUAUCACCCAGCCUCUAUUACAGGCAAAAUAAAGGUUUGCGAUGCCAGUGGAAAGGAAUGGAAAAGAAAGAUAACCAAGCACAAUGGGAUAAUUGUCAAGCAACCCUGUGGGUCCACCUAUGACUUGCUACAGUAAAUUUGUAGUGGCACAGAUAUUCGUAUUCAUGGUUGUCAGAUUUUGUUAAGCUACAUUGAUAAUUCUAGUAAGAAGCCAGCUUGCAGGAUUGCAGGAGAAUAAGGAGGCUAGGAAGCUGAUGGUACAUUGAGAGAAUACUUCAAAUAAUUUUCCAUGGAUUUGCAUUCAAUAAAAAAAGAAAGUUUGGUGAGAAAUUGGUCAAGAAACUCUAGGAUAGUGGAGAUUUAAUAGACUAUUUCAGUUCAAUAAUAAAAUGAAAGGGUAGGUUUAGUGAAAAGGAGGAGGUAAGACAGGAGAAUGGUAGGAGUGUUUGGUUGAGGACAGGAUAUUGAAGACUAACAGUUUAUAGGUAGAAUAGUCCUGAAUGCUGACCAACAUCUCAGGUGUGGUCAUUUAUUUGUGUUCCUGAUAUAACAUGCAGGUACAGUUUAUUCAUUUUAAAGGCAAAUAAUUGUGAAAUUACAAUGUUGGAUGCAUUUUUCAUAUGCAUGCUGAAAUCAUCCAGUAUGAUUCCAAAAUUAUGUUUAAGAGACAGACUCUGAACCAAAUGUCCAAAUUCUCAAUGACUGGGAGUGUCCAAGAGACUCAAAUUGCUAUCACUUUUAGAAGUGCACCAUGCCCUCACUGGGUGUCAAGAGCUUUGGAGAAAGAGUUUAAAAUGAGUGUGACUCCUUUGGAAUUUUUAAUAGAGGUUAAGAGGGCUUUAUUCCAUUGCAUGGUUGAGGAAAGAUGGAGAGAAAAAAAAAUAGUCUUGUUUAAGAUUUACAGAGAAGUGAGUGUAGAAUAAUAGAAAGAUGAGAAUACCGGGGAGAGGUGAUCAAAAGAAACUGAUGCAGGACAGGCAAGCCCCCAAAUUGGGGCUUAGCCUGUGAGGGUUCUUUGCUUCACUCAGAAAAAAUUCAAGGAUGAACCGGUGGUGUUAAACAGCAAGUUUUUUUCAAAUGGCAGUGUACAGCAGCAACAGAAGCACUGCUUUUUGCAGAGCAGUGCUACCCCAUAGGCAGUGUGCCCAGAAUAGCACCUCAGAGGCAGUGCUGUACUUAUAUUUGUACCCACUUUUAAUUAUAUGCAAACUAACGGGAGGUUUAUGCAGAAAUUUAUAGGAUGAUGGAGGUAACUUCCAGGUCAUUGGGUCAUUGCUACGGAAAGGGGCGGUAAUUUCCAAGUGUUGCUGUGGCAAUGGUCACCUGACAUGGCACAGUGGUGGGCGUGUCUUAUGGAAAGCCACCUCCGCACUGACCUGUUUUAGCUAGUCCUUAAUUUUUGCCUGAUGUCUGAGCCCUGCCUCUGAAGAUUCCUGCCUCCUACCUCAAAACCAUACUUUGAAAAUGGUCUUCAUAUUUCAGGAGCAAGAGUCAUGGAUAUGGUUAACACAGUAAUUUGAUUGCAAAUUAGCUUUGGGGCCAGAACUGGAUGAGAAUCUGCAGUGAUACUGUUGUGACCUUCCUGCAGAAUUUGUCUCUGUUGUACUGGUUUGGAUGGUUAUCUUCCCAAUGGAAACUGAAAGAGGGGAAAAUUCUUAUUGCAUAGAUGAAAGUAGUCUUAAAUGUGUUCAUCCCAUAAUAUGGAUUAGAUGGUGGAUGAAGUGGUCAAGAAGUGAUAAUUUCCAGAAACAGACUAUAAUGACACUCAGGAAACCAGUGAUAUACAAAGUAACCAUGCUGGAGACAGCAUCUGAAAUAUCUGGAACCUCAGGCACGCUCUCCUUCUCCAUAACAUAUUUGUAAGAAAAAGGAGUCUAUUUAACCUCAUGGGAGAAAAUCUAAACUGGAUAAAUCUUUUCAAAAAAAUCUCACCAUGGCUUUUGUAUUGCUAAACCCAGGACUGAUUUUUAGGUGCAAAAAGAUCCUUGGGAUUUCCUGUCUCUGAGAUAGACUAGGAAUAGAGUCAGGUCAUACCCUUUCUACCUAUUGCUCACUUCCCCAGAAACCAGCCUGCAAAGCAGGAACAGCUUUCCAUCCUUUGUUGCUCUUUUCAAAAGAGCAUAGAAUCACUUCUUUCCUUGAAUAUAUAGAGCUUUGUAUAUAUAAAUGCAAGUAAUCAUUAUUAAAUAUUUGUGAAACAGAUAUAAAGAUUCAUCAGAUCACUGUACAUUCACAUUUUGAUGACCCAAGAAAGAAAGAAUCUGGUGAUAGAUCAGUGGAAUCUGCCAUGAGCAAGUAUCUGUGAUUGAAUGAAACGUCCUAAAUGAACACAUCUAUGUUCUGUGUCAUUGAACAAAAGAUUCAAAAUACUCUGCAAUGUUAAAAAAUAAUUAAACAAAAAUGAUUUUGUAAGAUUGCUUUUGAAGAGGCAUUUGUUUGGGUUUGUAGUUUUCUUGGCUAUUUAUUCAUUCAUUUCUGGUAAACAAUACUUUUAGAUUCACUUUAAUGAAGUCAGUUGCUACAAACUUCACAUUUCUCUCCUCUGAGAUAAUUUAAUCAACAAAUUAUUUUCCCUGUGUUAUAUAUUUCAGCCUGACAAAGAACAGAAAAGCAACACAUGUUAAUGUCAUAACAAGUGAGGCUCUGCAGCUGAGUAGAAUCUCAUUCCCUGGCUCUCAAGGUGGAAGAGAUAGGGUAGGGAGGCUACAGUUGAAUAUAAGAAAUGAAGUAAGUAAAAGCAUAGCUGAGAAAACACUACAGCUCUCUCAGAGAAGAGGUCUCUGGUUAUCAAGAAGAUGACUUAAAAAAAUGAAAAAUAAUCAAAAUGCUGUUAAAACUGCGGUAAAAACAAGGAUUGAAGAAAAGUGAUAAAGGAUAGAGGGUAAUUCAAAGAAUAUUGAGAGGAAUAUACUGAGUAUAAUGAUUUAAAAACAGAACCAUUACAAUUGUGUUCUAGUCAGUUUUUCAGCUCAUUUCUAAGACAUAGCUUAGAACAUUUUGGGAUAGAAGAGGGAGAUGGAAAUAUACAUGCAAAUAAUAGCACUAUACAGGAAAUACGUUCUUAGCAUCUGGACAUUUACACAUAUAAUUGAUUGGAGGGGAAUGAUUUGCAGAAACUUCAAGUUUCUGGGACAGUUCUCAUUUUUAAUAUUUUGUUUCACUGAUAAAUUGUUUAAUUGAUCAAUGUGUUAAGAUUUUUCAGAAAAAAAGAUUAUCAUAAUUGUGAUAGCUAUACAUUACUGCAAUGGAGGAAAAGGAAAAUGUUAGAGAACAACUGAAGAAACAAAGGCCAGAUUAUUUAAAGCUCACUCAGAUUUCUGUAACACAUAGCCAUUCACAAAAGACCACGAUAUCUUUGGAGAAAAAAGGGAGAGUUUUAUUUUCUAUUAAACUCAGACUGAAGACUGGGGAGAUGCGUCAUUCAGUGCACAAGGAGGUGGGGUUGGAGAGUCAGCGUUUAUAGAGGCAAAAACCGCAGGGCAGGGAGAGGAUUCUGAGGAACAGUCCUUAAGCCCCAAAUCACUAGUCUCUCUUACAUGGCUGGUUCCAGGUGGUCAGUACAAUAGUGCCAGGUGUUCUGUUGGAGUCAGCUGGGGAAUUUCCAGCUGCAGUUGUUUCCAGUAACUGUUCUUUGACUUGCUUGUAGAAAAACAGGUUUUGUAAUACUUUCUAAAGACAUAGAGAGUGUGACUGCUCCCUCACACUGCCUUGGUGUCUUGGGUCUGCUUUUACUCCCAGAUGAGUCAGGGAGUUCAUCUUGCCUGUUAACUGGGGGCAUUGUUUGACAUAGCAUAAUUCUAUUUUCCUUUUACCAUCAUCAUUUAAAAACGUUUUAAAAAGUUGUUAUGAAAAUUUUCUAAGGACUUGAAAUAUAUGUAGAUGGUUCAGUUGAGUAAAUGGCUACUUUUAACAAAAUUAGCUGGCUUUCAUUAAUUCACCGAGUGUUGUCAGUCACAACAGGAUAUUUGCAAUAAAAAUAUUGACAUAAUUGCUUAAACGAUUGACAUCACUAAAUAUGAUAACUCUAUACAUUUGAUGACAGAAGAACUGAUUGGAAAAGACUGAGUUGGUUUCAUUUUCUUUGUUCAGCAAGGCUAGCAUUUAAUGUGCAAAAUGAACACCUUUGCCAGGGGCCUAUUUUUCCUUGUGAAAGAAACUCACAGUGACAAUAUGUGUUGCAAAGCUCAUAAAAAUCAUCUAGCUGAUUUUUAUAAGACCAUAUUAAUCAAUAAUAGAAGAUCAGGGUGGAAUCUUUCCAUCAGAUUUUUCUAUAUUCUUUUGACAUAGAUUGAGUAUUGAGUAGUUAUUAAUAUUUUAUAUUAUGAAGUCCAUCAAUGUUUUGAUAAUAGUGAUGGAUCCUCUACUGAGGAAAAAUAAAUGUAUCUGUGAAACAUUUUUUACAUUUCUUUGAGCCCAUUCCUGGACUUCUUCGGGGUUCUUGAAUGACAGGUUAAGAAUUUUUAUUAUAGAGUAACAUCUGAAAUAUUACCUUUUUGUGCUUAUAAGUAAACUUCACUGUUAAUUGUCUCUUCCUACCCUCAUGAACUCCUCUUUCUUGAUCUUCUUAGCAACAGAUCUAUUAUUUUUGUUUAUUAAAUUUUAAAGCAGUCAAUAAAUGCGUUCAGGCAUGAGAGAUUCUAAUGUCUAAGAAUCCUCAAAUAAUAAGCACAUGGAUCUGAGCACUUCUUUAAGUGUCACUAAGUUAAACUUGUUUCAGAUUUGUUUCAGAUUCAUCUUUCAAAAAUACCAUGAGUAUUUAUGUUUUGUGGAAUCUAAUCCAUGGUUAACAUCUGGUAGCAUGACUUUUGAGGUCAAAAAAAUCCUGGAUAUAAAUCUAAAUUCUCAUGUACAAGACAAACAAGCACAAUUACUAUUUAUUUUAACAUGACUUUUAGCUUUUGGAAUAAGAGAGGUUAAAAAAAAACUGUUAAAAGAGUUUAGUUUAUUUGGUUUAAAAUAGCUUUAUUGAGGUAUAAUUGACAUACAAUCAACUCAUGUAUUUAAGUGUACAAUUUAAUAUUUUCUCAUAUGUAUAUACCCAAUGAAACCACAACCACAAUCACAAUAAUAAGCAUAUUUAUUGCCUCUGAAAGUGUUACCAUGCCCUUUUGUAAUAUAUCCCUCUACCUCCACCUGCAUCAUCACCAGGCAAUUGCAGAUUUGAUUUCUAUCAUUAUAGAUUCGUUGAUAUUUUGUAGAAUUUUUAGUAAAUGAAAUGAUAAUGUGCGCAUUUUAUUUUUUUGUCACUCUGCAAAAUUAUUUUAGAAUUCACCCACGAUUUCAUUUAUAUAAAUUGUUCAUCUGUUUUUUAUUAUUGUGUGGUAAUCCAUUGUCUGGCUACAUCAGAACAUAUUUAUCCACUCACCCGUUGAUGUGUAAUAAAGCACAGGCUCAGCGGCUCGCAGCUUGAAAAGCUAAUGACAAGGAUGAAGUUCCAUGAAAGGAAAGUGACUUUGUUUUCCAAAGCUAGCAGUGAGGAGGAAGCUGGAUUACACCUCUAGAAACUGCUUCAAAAGGUUAGACUGAGGGCAGGUGUUUAAAAAAAGAAGGCUUGAUAGGAGAGGCAUGCAGGAGAUUUGCAGGAUUCAGGGGCCAUGUGUCUUGUUCCAACACCUAUCUUAAGUUAUGGUCACCCUGGAGCAACGGGCUGAUACCAUCUCGACAGCAUCUGGAUUGUAGAUUAUACAUCUUGGGGCAAUCUUUAAGAGGGGGAGAGUUCCACAGCUGGGCCUUUAUGCUUGGUUCAUUUUAAAUUGGCCUCUGGAACUUAACAAGCAUAUAGCGAGAUAAGUGUGCAUGGUGUGAGUUUAACAAGCAUACAAUUAGAUGAAUGUGCAUAAGACAAGAGAGCAUAAGGUAGAAAGGGAAGGGAGUAGAAUUUUGAAGUACAUUUCAAGGCUAUAUUAAAGACUAAGGAAAAGGCUUCUGCAGGUUCCUUCAAGUUUACAUCUUGAGAUUGGGGAAAAAGGAGAAAAAUGAGAAAGGAAAAAUUAAAAAAAAUUUUUUUUGAAGCUAAAUUACUUGGUUACAAUUGGACAUAUGGGCUGUUUCCUAUUUGGACUAUUACAAAUAAGCUACUAUGAACAUUCAUUUACAAGUCUGUUUGUGUACAUAUGGUUUCAUUGAUCAUGAAGUAAAUACCUCAGAGUACAAUGUCUGGAUAAUAUAAUAAGUGUAUGGUUAACUUAAAAAAAAAAAACCUGCCAAACUGCUUUCCAAAGUGCCAGUACCAUUUUACAUUUCCAAUAUCAAUGUGUGUCCUGGUUGCUCCACAAGUUUAUUAACAUUUGGUAUGAUCAGUCUUUUCCAUUUCAUAUAUUCUAAUAGGUGUUUCAUAGUAUAUCAACAUUGUUUUAAUUUGUACUUUCCUAAUGAGUGGUGAUGAAUAUUUUUUCAUGUGUUUGUUAUGUUUGUCAUCUGUUUAUCUUUUUGGUGAGUUUCUUUUCAAGGCUUUCUCUAGUUUUGAUAAUGUAUUUGUUUAUUUUCAUCUUACUGAGUUUUGAGAGUUCUUUAUAUAUUCUGAAUAUAAACCGAUUUUCACAUAUGUGAUUAACAAAUAUUUUCUCCCAGUCUGUGCUUAUAUUUUCAUUCUUUAAUUAACAUUGUUUUUGAAGAGCAACAUUUUUAAUUUUGGGAAAGUCAAGUUUGUCAAUUUUUACUUUAAUGAGUCAUGUUUUUGCUAAUAUAUUUAUAAAAUUUUUACUUCACCAAAGGUCACAAAGAUUUUCCUCUAUGAUUACUUCCAAAAUGUUUAUAGUUUUAGAUUUUACUUUCAGUCUGUGAUCCAUUUUAAGUUACCUUUUGUAUAUGAUGAAGGUCAUGGAACAAAAUUUAUUUUUCAUAUUUAUUCCAGCACACUUGUUGAAAAUGCUCUCCUUUAUCUAUUACAUUGCUUUCGAAAUUUUGUGGAAAAUCAAUUGAUUGUAUGGAUGUGGGUCUAUUUAUGUACUCUAUUGUAUUCCUUUAAUCUACUUCUCUGUCUGGAUGCAAAUAACAUACUAUUUUGAUUACUGUAAUUUUAUUAUAAAUCUUGAAAUCAGGUAGUAUUAGUGUCUUAGCUUUACUUUCUUAUCAGAGUUGUUUUGGCUAUUCUAGGCGCUCUGCAUUUCCAGAUAAAUGUUAGAAUCAGUUUAUAAAGUUUUACCAAAAAAUCCUGCUGGUAUUUUAACUUGAACUGUUUUGAAUCUAUACUUUGUUUUUAGAAAAGUUAACAUCCUCAUAAUAGUGAGCCUUCCAAUUUGCGAACACUGUGUUUCUUCCCAUUUUUCCAGGUCUUCUUUAAUUCCUCUCAACAGUAUUUUGUAGUUUUUAGUAUGUAGUUCUUCCACAUCUUUUGUUAGUUUUAUUCCUGUGUACUUUAUAGUUUUGAUUCUAUUUUCCAAAAAUAUUAUUUCUUUUUUAUUUUAGUUUUCAAUUGUUUGUUGUUAGUAUAUAUAAAUACAAUUUUUUUAUGUUGUUCUUAUGUCCUCCAAACCUGCUAAACUCACUCAUAAUUGUGGCAGCAUUUUUGUAGGUUCCAUUAGAUUUUCUACACAGACAAUUAUGUUAAUUGCAAAGAGAGCUUAACUUAUCUCUUUCCAAUCUGGAUGCCUUUUAUUUCCAUUUCAUGUAAUAUUGCAAAAUGGCUAGAAACUCUGCUACAAUUUGAAUAUAAGUGAUAAAGGCAGACAUCUUCACCUUCUCCUGGUCUUAGGGGAAAAUCACCCAGUAUUUCAACAUAAAAAUGUUAUUAGUUUUAGGCUUUUCAUAGAUGCCUGUGGUAGACUGAAUAAUGCUCCUCCACUUCCCCACAAGUGUCCAUGUCCUAAUUCUUGGCACCUAUGACUAUGUUACCCUACAUAACAAAAGGGAAUUUACAGAUGUGACUAACUUAAGGAUUUUGAGUUGGGAAGAUUAUAAUGCAUUAUCAAGUUAGGCGUAAUAUAAUCAGAGGCCUUUUUAAGUAGGAAGGAGUAGUGGUGUAGUUAGAGAAUGAAAUGUGAUGAUGGAAGAAGUACUAAGAGAUCAUAAGCCAAGGAGUGAGGGAACCCUCUAAAGCCUGGGAAAGGUAAGAAAAUGGACUUUUCCCUGGAACCUCUAGAAGGAACACAGCCCUGCCCACCUCUUUUAAACUUUGGGCCUCCAGAACUGUGAAUUUGUGUUAUUCUAAGCCACUAAAUUUUUGGUAUGUUAUGGUAGCAGAAGAAAUGAAUACGAUGCCUUUUAUCAGGUUGAGGAAGUUCUCUUGUAUCUCUAGUUUGCUGACAGCUUUUAUAGAAAUUGCUAUGAGAUUUUGUCAAAUGCUUUGUCUGCAUCUAUUGAGAUAAUUAUAUAAUUUUCCUUUUUAUUUUUUUAAUAUGGUGAAGUAUGUUGAUUAAUGUCCAAUGUUAAGUCAAACAUGCAUUUAUAGGAUUGAUCCUGUUUGGUCAUGGGUUAUUUAGAGUUCUGUUGUUUAGUUCAUAAUAUCUUGAGAUUUUCUAAGUAACUUUCUGUAAUUAACUUCAAAUGUAAUACAAUUGUGGUCAGAGAACAUACUUUGACUUGAGUCAUUUUAAACUUGUUGAGACCUCCUUUAUGACUCAGAAUAGGAGUUAGCUUCCAUGUGCACUUAAAAAGAGUAUGUAUUACGCUCUUGUUGGCUGUAGUGUUCUGUAAAUUUCAAUGGGUAAUGUUAUUCAAGUCUUGAUAAUUGCUUGAUAAUGUUAUUCAAGUCUUCUACAUCAUUGGUAAUUAUCUCUCUACUUGUUUAAUUACUGAGAAUGAGGUGUUAAAAUUACAGAGAUUUCUUGUCUUACAGUCCUGGAGGCCAGAAGUCUUAAACUAAGAUGUCAGAAAUGCUACAUUCUCUUGUAAUGUGCUAGAGAAGAAACUGUUCCUUGCUAGCUUCUGGUAGCCUCAGGCACUCCUUGGUUUGCACAUGUAUCACUCUGUCCUCAUUUUCAGAUGACAUUCUCCCUGUAUCUUCACAUCAUCUUUCCUCUGUGUUUGUCUGUGCCUUCAUCCAAAUUUCCUUCUUUAAGAAGGCCACCCAUCAUUUUGGAUGAAGGUUUACCCAAAUGGCUUCAUUUUCACUUGAUUACCUCUCAAAGAACCUAUUUCCAAAUAAGAUCACAUUUUGAGGUACUGGGAGUUAGGACUUCAAUAUAUGGUAGUCCUCUCUUGUCCAUGGUUUUGCUUUCCAUGGUUUCAGCUAUCCACAGUCAACCAUGGUUCCAAAAUAGUACAUGGGAAAUUCCAGAAAUAAACAAUUCAUAAAUUUUAAAUUGUGCUCUGCUCUGAGUAGCAUGAUGAAAUGUCAUGCUGUCCAAAUCCGUCUGACCCAGGUAAUGAAUCAUCCACACCAUCUAAGCUACCCAAAUCACUUAGUAGCCUGCCUGGUUAUCAGAUUCACUGUCCUGGAUCACAGUGUUUGUGUUCAAGUAACCCCUUAUUUGACUUAAUAAUUGCUCCAAACUCAAGUAGUGAUGCUGGCAAUUUGCAUAUGCCAAAAAGAAGCUCUAAACUGCUUUAAGUGAAAAGGUAAAAGUUCUUGACUUAAGGAAAGAAAACAUUUUAUGCGGAAGUUGCUAAGGUCUAUGAAAAGAACCAAUCAUGUAUCCAUGAAAUUGUGAAGAGGAGAAAAGAAAUUUGUGAUAGUUUCUUUGCGGUUGCACUGCUAACUGCACAAGUUAUAGCCACAGUGCAUGAUAAGUGUUUAUAUAGGCCUUGGUACUAUCAGUGGCUUCAGGCAACUAUGGCAGGUCUUGGAGUGUAUCCCCUGAGGAUAACGGGAGCUGCUGUAUCUUUUUGGAAGGACACAGUUCAACUCAUAAGGUGUGUCAUGCUUUUUUUUUUUUUAAAUUCCAAUCUGACAAUUUACCUUUUAUUUAAUUAUGAUUUGACCAUUCACAAUGUGAUGAUUGAUAUGAUUGAGUUUAAAUCUAUAAUUUUGCUGUGUGUUUUCUACUUAUUCCAUGUGUUUUUCCCCCAAGUAUCUGCAUUCCUUUGAAUUAAUCUAGUAUCAACUAAUUAUUUUUAUCUUCUUUGUUGUCUGGUUAUUUACAACUCUUUGUUGUGUUAUUUAAUGAGUGCUCUAUGGCUCAUCUUUCAUUUAGUAUAGCUUACUUUUAACUAGUAAAAGCCUUAUAGUAUAUUUCCAUUUCCCUCCUCUGGGUCUUUGUGUUAUUGCUAUCAUAUGCUUUAAUCUUCAUUUAUUAGAAACCCCACACUAUGUUGUUACUAUUUUAGAUUUAAACAGUUGAUUAUCUUUUAAAGUAAUUUACAUAAUAAAAAGUAUCUUAUAUUUGUUUAUGUAUUUAUUCUGUAUUCCUUUCUGUAGAUCAAUAUUUUAUUUAU
rnacentral:lncRNA from 1 species